rnacentral:rRNA from 1 species
AUACGGAGGGUGCGAGCGUUAACCGGAAUUACUGGGCGUAAAGCGUACGUAGGCGGUUUGCUAAGUCAGAUGUGAAAGCCCCGGGCUUAACCUGGGAACUGCAUUUGAUACUGGCAGACUAGAGUAUGAUAGAGGGGGGUAGAAUUCCUGGUGUAGCGGUGAAAUGCGUAGAUAUCAGGAGGAAUACCAGUGGCGAAGGCGGCCCCCUGGAUCAAUACUGACGCUGAGGUACGAAAGCGUGGGGAGCGAACAGGAUUAGAAACCCUAGUAGUCC